CCUACGGGGGGCAGCAGUGAGGAAUAUUGGUCAAUGGGCGAGAGCCUGAACCAGCCAAGUCGCGUGAAGGAUGACGGCCCUACGGGUUGUAAACUUCUUUUGUCAGGGAGCAAUUGAGUCCACGUGUGGGCUUAGCGAGAGUACCUGAAGAAAAAGCAUCGGCUAACUCCGUGCCAGCAGCCGCGGUAAUACGGAGGAUGCGAGCGUUAUCCGGAUUUAUUGGGUUUAAAGGGUGCGUAGGCGGAAUAUCAAGUCAGUGGUAAAAAUUCGGGGCUCAACCCCGUCGUGCCGUUGAAACUGAUGUUCUGGAGUGGGCGAGAAGUAUGCGGAAUGCGUGGUGUAGCGGUGAAAUGCAUAGAUAUCACGCAGAACUCCGAUUGCGAAGGCAGCAUACCGGCGCCCAACUGACGCUGAAGCACGAAAGCGUGGGUAUCGAACAGGAUUAGAUACCCCGGUAGUC
rnacentral:rRNA from 1 species